GAUGAACGCUGGCGGCGUGCCUAAUACAUGCAAGUCGAGCGAACGGACGAGAAGCUUGCUUCUCUGAUGUUAGCGGCGGACGGGUGAGUAACACGUGGAUAACCUACCUAUAAGACUGGGAUAACUUCGGGAAACCGGAGCUAAUACCGGAGAAUAUUUUGAACCGCAUGGUUCAAAAGUGAAAGACGGUCUUGCUGUCACUUAUAGAUGGAUCCGCGCUGCAUUAGCUAGUUGGUAAGGUAACGGCUUACCAAGGCAACGAUGCAGAGCCGACCUGAGAGGGUGAUCGGCCACACUGGAACUGAGACACGGUCCAGACUCCUACGGGAGGCAGCAGUAGGGAAUCUUCCGCAAUGGGCGAAAGCCUGACGGAGCAACGCCGCGUGAGUGAUGAAGGUCUUCGGAUCGUAAAACUCUGUUAUUAGGGAAGAACAUAUGUGUAAGUAACUGUGCACAUCUUGACGGUACCUAAUCAGAAAGCCACGGCUAACUACGUG
rnacentral:rRNA from 1 species